AUCAGAAGGCACACCCGGAGAACUGAAACAUCUUAGUACCCGGAGGAAGAGAAAGAAAAUUCGAUUCCCUUAGUAGCGGCGAGCGAAACGGGAAGAGCCCAAACCAACAAGCUUGCUUGUUGGGGUUGUAGGACACUCUAUACGGAGUUAUAAAGGACGACAUUAGACGAAUCAUCUGGAAAGAUGAAUCAAAGAAGGUGAUAAUCCUGUAGUCGAAAAUGUUGUCUCUCUUGAGUGGAUCCUGAGUACGACGGAGCACGUGAAAUUCCGUCGGAAUCUGGGAGGACCAUCUCCUAAGGCUAAAUACUCUCUAGUGACCGAUAGUGAACCAGUACCGUGAGGGAAAGGUGAAAAGCACCCCGGAAGGGGAGUGAAAUAGAACCUGAAACCGUGUGCUUACAAGUAGUCAGAGCCCGUUAAUGAGUGAUGGCGUGCCUUUUGUAGAAUGAACCGGCGAGUUACGAUUUGAUGCAAGGUUAAGCAGUAAAUGUGGAGCCGUAGCGAAAGCGAGUCUGAAUAGGGCGUUUAGUAUUUGGUCGUAGACCCGAAACCAGGUGAUCUACCCUUGGUCAGGUUGAAGUUCAGGUAACACUGAAUGGAGGACCGAACCGACUUACGUUGAAAAGUGAGCGGAUGAACUGAGGGUAGCGGAGAAAUUCCAAUCGAACCUGGAGAUAGCUGGUUCUCUCCGAAAUAGCUUUAGGGCUAGCCUCAAGUGAUGAUUAUUGGAGGUAGAGCACUGUUUGGACGAGGGGCCCCUCUCGGGUUACCGAAUUCAGACAAACUCCGAAUGCCAAUUAAUUUAACUUGGGAGUCAGAACAUGGGUGAUAAGGUCCGUGUUCGAAAGGGAAACAGCCCAGACCACCAGCUAAGGUCCCAAAAUAUAUGUUAAGUGGAAAAGGAUGUGGCGUUGCCCAGACAACUAGGAUGUUGGCUUAGAAGCAGCCAUCAUUUAAAGAGUGCGUAAUAGCUCACUAGUCGAGUGACACUGCGCCGA
rnacentral:rRNA from 1 species